rnacentral:lncRNA from 1 species
UAAACAAUGUCGCAUAUAUGUCUAUUUUCAGUAUUUGCAAAAAUUGUAUUAAAUUAAAAUACACUUUAGCCUAAUUUGGCUCUUCUUCCUGUGCUGAACAUCACAGGCCCUCACAGUAAAUGUCUGUGCAUGGAAUGGAAAAGGAGCCCAGCUGAGCCAGCCCCACUGCUCUGGGUAGGAUAACCUUGCCAAAGAGGAAAGGAAUUUGGACAGACUUAACAUGCAGCCUGUACAGCUUCCAUGAGCUGGACACUAAAAUGAAGAGAGAGUUUAUUCAUUCCCAUCUCA